UCCCAGCAAAACAACACUCCAGCCUUCAUUCAGACCCAAAACAGAACAAGGAACAGAGCCGCAGAUCUUCUUCUUCCAACCUCCUUCCGGAUUUCCCCAGCUGCCCAACAUCCCAGCGAUCUUCUGUGAUCCAUCCAUAUCCUGCGCCCGAGUUGAAGCUCCCCUGCUCUGCGUGUCCGGAUGAGAGCCAGCACAGAUCAUGCACUCAUCUUUUCUUCUCCCGGAUAUCUCCCAGCUUCUCCCGCGAUGCAUGCCAAGCAAACAAACUUUUAUCUUCAUCCACAUCCUCAACCGAAUCCAGACCCCAUCCGGAUUUGCUCCCAGCUCAUCUUUCCUUCUCCGAAUAUCCCAGCAUCAAAGGAUCAAGUCUUCUCAGCCAUGAGCUUCAUCCACAUCAUACCCUGCCUCAAAACGGAACUCCUCUUCCGGAUAAGCUCCAAUCUCAGCACUCGUGGAUAGCUUCCAAGGCCGGAUCCCAUGAUCCGUGAUGAUUCUUUCAGCAUUCCCAGCACGUUCCAGCUAGAUCCCCAAGCCUAAGCCUCUCAGCAUCUGGAUUAACAGCAGCAUCCCGAGCUGAUUGCGUCCCAAACAACUUCAUCCCGAACGCCACGGAAUUCUCAGCAUCACCAUGGAACACAUCGGUUCUUUCUCCCAGCGCGAACAACAGCAAAUUAAACUUUCAAACGGCAUCAUCACAACUGAUUAAACAUCUCAACCAGCAGUCUCUCGAGUUUCAUGGAUUACCAGCUUCGAACUUCAUCUCUUUCCCGAUGGAUUAUCACCUACUCCACGCCAGCUGCAUUCUUCUCGAUGGAUAAGCUCCCAGCCAUCAGAUCUUCGCCGGAUCCCCUGUUACAGCAAAACAGAACCUGAGCUUAUCCUCACGGGUUGUUCAAGCCAUCGGGACCAGAGCCAGCAUCUAUAACACGUCCGAAGAUCAAGCAAGAAAUCCUCAACUCCAUCCAGCUUCGAUCCAUCCUUAUCUCCAUGGGAAAUAGGGAAGAGGAGAGAUGAAGGUUGGAGCUUAUAAAAGGCCCAGGCAUGAACAGAGGAGGCAUUCCUUUCUCGCCCAAAAAUUUUAUGCUUCGGCUUGUUUCGGGAGUCCCCAUUCAGUGAAUCCCAGAAAAGUCCGAGAAGGUAGAAGAAGAAGAAGAAGAAGAAGAAGAAGGAAGGAGUCCACCAUUGCAAUGAAAGUCUUUGGCGUUGAAAGUCUUUGGCGUUCCGACCACUGUCUGCAUGGAAGCUUAAAUUCUUCACUAGGGCUCGAUGUAGCCCUAACAAAGGAACACGGGUUUUAUAUCUUUAAUUUCAUGUUCUCGAAAUUGUAUAGACAUUCUUGCUUUUAAUAAAUAUCAUUUUAUCUUAUGCUUA